CCUACGGGUGGCUGCAGUAAGGAAUAUUGGUCAAUGGAGGAAACUCUGAACCAGCCAUCCCGCGUGAAGGAUGAAGGGGCUCUGCCUUGUAAACUUCUUUUGUCUGGGGCGAAAAAGCUCGAUUUAUCGAGAACUGACGGUACCAGAAGAAUAAGCACCGGCUAACUCCGUGCCAGCAGCCGCGGUAAUACGGAGGGUGCCGGCGUCACUGGGAAUAACGGGGGCGAAGGGGGGUGUGGGUGUCAGUGUUGAAAGGCUGUGGCGUAACCAUGGAAUUGCCAUUGAUACUGCAGAGCUUGAAUGAGGUUGAGGUUGGCGGAAUGUGACAUGUAGCGGUGAAAUGCUUAGAUAUGUCAUGGAACACCGAUUGCGAAGGCAGCUGACUGGACCUAUAUUGACGCUGAGGCACGAAAGCGUGGGGAGCGAACAGGAUUAGAUACCCCGGUAGUC
rnacentral:rRNA from 1 species